rnacentral:rRNA from 1 species
GAUGAACGCUGGCGGCGUGCCUAAUACAUGCAAGUCGAGCGAACAGACGAGGAGCUUGCUCCUCUGACGUUAGCGGCGGACGGGUGAGUAACACGUGGAUAACCUACCUAUAAGACUGGGAUAACUUCGGGAAACCGGAGCUAAUACCGGAUAAUAUAUUGAACCGCAUGGUUCAAUAGUGAAAUACGGUUUUGCUGUUACUUAUAGAUGGAUCCGCGCCGCAUUAGCUAGUUGGUAAGGUAACGGCUUACCAAGGCAACGAUGCGUAGCCGACCUGAGAGGGUGAUCGGCCACACUGGAACUGAGACACGGUCCAGACUCCUACGGGAGGCAGCAGUAGGGAAUCUUCCACAAUGGGCGAAAGCCUGACGGAGCAACGCCGCGUGAGUGAUGAAGGUCUUCGGAUCGUAAACCUCUGUUAUUAGGGAAGAAAAAAUGUGUAAGUAACUAUGCACGUCUUGACGGUACCUAAUCAGAAAGCCACGGCUAACUACGUG